AGCGAACGCUGGCGGCAGGCUUAACACAUGCAAGUCGAACGAUAAGCUAGACUUCGGUUUAGUGGACAGUGGCAGACGGGUGAGUAACGCGUGGGAAUCUACCUUUGAGUGGGGAAUAACAAUUAGAAAUGAUUGCUAAUACCGCAUACACCCUCCGGGGGAAAGGCUUCGGCCGCUCUUAGAUGAGCCCGCGUACGAUUAGUUUGUUGGUGAGGUAAAGGCUCACCAAGACUACGAUCGUUAGCUGGUUUGAGAGGAUGAUCAGCCACACUGGGACUGAGACACGGCCCAGACUCCUACGGGAGGCAGCAGUGGGGAAUAUUGGACAAUGGGCGAAAGCCUGAUCCAGCCAUGCCGCGUGAGUGAAGAAGGCCUUAGGGUUGUAAAACUCUUUCGACAGGGAAGAUAAUGACGGUACCUGUAUAAGAAGCUCCGGCUAACUCCG
rnacentral:rRNA from 1 species